UAAUACGGAGGGUGCAAGCGUUAUCCGGAUUCACUGGGUUUAAAGGGUGCGUAGGAGGGCAGGUAAGUCCGUGGUGAAAUCCCCAAGCUUAACUUGGGAACUGCCGUGGAUACUAUCUGUCUUGAAUCCCGUGGAGAUGAGCGGAAUAUGUCAUGUAGCGGUGAAAUGCUUAGAUAUGACAUAGAACACCAAUUGCGAAGGCAGCUCGUUACACGAAGAUUGACUCUGAGGCACGAAAGCGUGGGGAUCAAACA
rnacentral:rRNA from 1 species